CGUGCGCCUUUAUCUCCAGUUUGACAUCGAUGUGCGCCGUUAUCUCCUUUGUUUACAUGAGGCGAUUUUGGUGCAAUGGCGCAAAUAGUCAAAUAGUGCUGUUUUUAAUCUUGCUAACAGGAUGUUUUCACAAACGUACUGUUACUCUCCCACUAUAUUGAGGAACAGGAGCAAAGGAGUGGCAUUCCGAUGGAGUUUGCAUGGUGGCUGCCCCUUAUGCUGACAAACAAGCAGCCAAAGGAUGGAAGCAGUGCGAGAACUGUUUGAAACAGCGAGUUGGAGGCCAGGAGUGGAGGUCCAACCUACGACUUCCAAGUCAAAUUGAAGAAAGUAACAGUCACGGAAGUAGGCUGAUUGAGUAUAACACAAAACAACAAUCCUGCAGUCCUGUAAUACUUUCAAUGACCUCAAAGCUGUCCUCAACCAGGUGUGUGUGGGAAGGUCUUCACACCGGACCCGACAACCCAAGUGAACCGGUGGUGGAAAUGUUGUUGAUCGGGGCCUACAAUCCAUAUCCAGGCUCUAAAUUAUUACGAGGGCCCACCUGUAGACCUCCUCUAAUCUCUCCAUCUCUUUCCUUGCCCCUCUAUUCUCUCUUCCUAUUCCCUUCUCCAUCAAUUCUCUCUU